rnacentral:misc_RNA from 1 species
UGGUUGGCUGGUUCCGAGCGAGAUAUUCCCUCUAGAGACGAGAUCAGCAGGUCAGAGCAUGGUCGUGUGCGUCAACCUUUUCUUCACCGCUGCAAUCGCACAGUGCUUCCUCGCCCUCCUCUGCCACCUCACAUACGGUGUCUUCAUUCUCUUCGCCGGACUGAUUGUGAUCAUGUCUUUGUUCAUCAUCUUCCUACUGCCAGAGACGAAGCAAGUACCGAUCGAGGAGAUGUCACAUCUAUGGGAGAAACACUGGUUCUGGAAGAACAUUGUGUCGAGAUCAGAAGACCAGAACAAGGAAAUAGCCCUGUAGA